rnacentral:lncRNA from 1 species
CUCAUCUCUCUUCCUCCUCCUCCUCUAACCCACCACCACCAACUAUACCAUCAACCAUAACGGCAAAAUAAAGUCCCCAUUUUUUAACCAAAACACCUCCCCUCUCACAAUCUUACAAAGCACCAACAGUGCUUCAAAACAAAGGAACAACAAAAUGAAGAAAGAAAGAAACAGAGAUAUGUCCAGGAGAUAUAAAAACAAGACUAGCAACCAACCACUGGACAGAACCCGCAAGUCUAAGACUAGGAACCCAACCAAAAGAAAAUUGAACAGAGAACACAGGGGAAGGUAGCAGAAACUUUUCUACACUGAACUUUAAACCCACUGCUCAAGAACCAGACACAAAACAACCUUCUAAAACACGGUUGAGAACUUGAAUUUUCCCCUCACCACCCUGGCCAUCCAUGGUUGUUUUUGCACCUUGGAAAUCGCGGCCUAAGCUCUUCUUCCCCUGUGAGUCCAAAUCGCGGCUUUUGCGCACUCCCCUUCUUCGAAUUCCUCUUCUUCCUAAUACUGGUCCCUGAGAAAUGGAAGAGGAAGCGCACCCCAGAUCCACGCACCACCACCACCCAAGAUCCACGCACCCCAUAUCCCAGAUCCGCCAAUCGCACCACCACCGCGCACCCUAGAUCCACCCUCUUUCAUCUCCUCCGACCGCGCCUCUUCCUUCACUCCCUCCUCCUCCACCCCAACACCAGCACUUUUCUACAUAUAGGGUUUUGGGUCCUUAGGGAGUUGAUGAAUCAGAUUAGGAAGAAAAUGAUUAUUUCUGGGUUUGUUCAUGAUGUUUUAUUCAUUAGGGAUUAAUAUUAAUAUAGAUUAGGUUAGGUAUUAGAUUAGGUUUUUAUUUAGAUUAGGGAUUUUAUUAAGUUUUUAUUUUUUUUAUUUAUGCUUUAAUGUAUGAGUUGGAAAUAAAAAAUAAAGUUUCACAAUUUUUCUAUUUAAAAAAAAUUAAAAAGCCAUGUGGAAUUGCUUAGUAGGAC